GAUGAACGCUAGCGGCAGGCUUAAUACAUGCAAGUCGAGGGGCAGCACGAAUAGCAAUAUUUGGUGGCGACCGGCAAACGGGUGCGGAACACGUACGCAACCUUCCUUUAAGUGGAGAAUAGCCCGGGAAACCCGGAUUAAUACUCCGUAAACAUUAUAAAGUGGCAUCACUUAGUAAUUAUAGAUUUAUCGCUUAAAGAUGGGCGUGCGCCUGAUUAGGUAGUU
rnacentral:rRNA from 1 species